ensembl:lncRNA
UUUUGUCAAAAUGGACUUUUCGUAGCAGGUUUAAGAAAACUUGCAUAGCAGGUUAGGUGAAUUAACGUAGCAGGCUAGGAAAAGGGUUAUGGUAAGAGUUAGCUGUAAUGCAAAAACAAAACAACUUUUGAAGUCAAUUUGACAGAAGUUGUAUUCCAUCCAGACAUGGCUAGAGAUCUUAUUAAAUUUGAAACCCUCAAAGUUCCAGAAUGGAGUGAAAAUGGAAGCUAUUUGUGGUCAGGGAGAAAUCCAAACCAGUCUGGAAUGAAUAUGCAGUAAAGGCAUAGGUGAUGCACUUCUUGCUUUUACUUACGCAGGAAAACAACAAAUUUAACCACGAAGACCAGAGGUUUUCCGAUCGUUCGCAAAGAAGGGAACCUAUUGGGCAUCAACGGACAUUGAAUAUCCCUUUUGAGCAUGGUGCAGUUAUUAUUUUAACACUUUAGAUGGUGUAUCAAUACACCCAGUCAAUGGAGAUUUUAAAACACAGAGUUUAAUGGCUGUGAUAGGAGAUAACUGAGGAUGGAUCACCAACACAAACAAAAAUCCACAAUACCAACAUAAACUACAGAGUAAAAAGAAGGAAGCUUGUACAGAUGUUUUUUUUAUUUAUUAAACAUGCAUCAUGUUUGCAACAAGGCAGUAAAGUAAUACUGCAAAAAAAUGUAGCAAAGAAAUUAACUUUAUGUCCUAAAAAGUAUGUUUGGGGCAAAUCCAACACAACACAUCACUGAGUACCACUCUUCAUAUUUUCAAAAAUGGUGGUGCUGCAUCAUGUUAUGGGUAUGCUUGUCAUCAGCAUGAACUAGGGAGUUUUUUUUUAGGAUAAAAAUAAACAUAAUAGAGCUAAGCACAGGCAAAAUCCUAGAGAAAAACCUGGUUCAGUCUGCUUUCCAACAGACACUGGAAGACAAAUUCACUUUCAACAGGAAAAUAACCUAAAACACAAGGCCACAUACACACUGGAGUUACUUACAAAGAUGACAUUGAAGGUUUCUGAGUGGCCUAGUUACAGUUUUGGCUUAAAUCGUCUUGAAAAUCCAUGGCAAGACUUGAAAAUGGCUGUCUAGCAAUGAUCAACAAC